rfam:Lactobacillus casei ATCC 334, complete genome.
GGGGGAUUAGCUCAGCUGGGAGAGCGCCUGCUUUGCAAGCAGGAGGUCAUCGGUUCGAUCCCGUUAUCCUCCA